GAUAUUACUCCCCCAAUGCUGCAGGCAGUUUCGAAACAAUAAUGUUAUACCCGUAUCAAUAGUAUCAAAACAAUAUUGAAUUCAUGGAAGUAAAGUUGGACGGUCAGAACUUGAAACAUUUUGACAUAUUUGAUAUUAAAACGGACCCUGAAACUCGCACAAACAAUCAAACUCUUAUAUUUAAUGACCUACCUACCCGUUUUGUACGUCAUACUCGUAUAAAAGUGUCUGGGA